GAGGAAGGGACCCGCCUUGGUGAGUGAGGAGAAAGGUUAGGGAAGGCUGUCCUGAGAAAGUGACAUUUGAGGCAACAUCUGUUACAGAAGGAGGAAUAGGAGAUAACCAGGAACAGACAAUCUACAGAUGAAUGUCACCCGGACUCCAGAGUCAUUUCCUCCCGGGAAAUUGUUACCAAUUUCACCAACAUGGCCUUUCACAGAAGUCAAGUCUUCCUCAGCAGCAGACAGAAUCAAGACCGUGCUGGGACAGUCCUCUGACAACACAAGCUUGCCACAGUCAGCCCGAACCCCUGCGUCCAAGACACAC
rnacentral:lncRNA from 1 species